rnacentral:rRNA from 1 species
UACGUAGGGUCCGAGCGUUGUCCGGAAUUACUGGGCGUAAAGAGCUCGUAGGUGGUUUGUCGCGUUGUCCGUGAAAACUCACAGCUCAACUGUGGGCGUGCGGGCGAUACGGGCAGACUGGAGUACUGCAGGGGAGACUGGAAUUCCUGGUGUAGCGGUGGAAUGCGCAGAUAUCAGGAGGAACACCCGUGGCGAAGGCGGUUCUCUGGGACGGUACUGACGCUGAGACGCGAAAGCGUGGGGAGCGAACAGG